GGUCAUUCUGUUCUUGAUAACUUUUAUACUAAGCUCAAGAAGUAACCAGAUGAUUAAUUCAUUACAUUUUACAUUUGGUUUAUUUUACUUUUUACUCUUGAAAGUUCGCUGACGUUUCUUUACAGUUUCUCUGAGUCCCGUAUGGAGUACGUUCGGAGUACAGUUUCUCCAAGUCCCAUAUUUGGAAAAGGUUCAAGAGGCGAUCCAGACACCCGGAAUUAUGAAGUUGUUUCUACCACUUUGUGAGUUGUUAGUUGUCCUCAUUCUUUUGACCACUGGUCAACAGUGCGAGGCUAGAAGACGAGAUCAUGCACUCAGCACCAGAAAAUCUAAAGAUCUUCUAAAAGACAA